rnacentral:lncRNA from 1 species
UGAUUUUGAUCUUUUCUUGAUUAAGUUCAUAUUGUGAUUCUGAUCAGUAUGGCUGAGGAAAACAAGAGCCAUGAGUAUGAGACCAAAGUUGGUGAAGAGAGUGGUGCUGUUGAGACCAAGGAUCGCGGGUUGUUUGAUUUCCUGGGGAAGAAAGAAGAAGAGAAGCCUCAAGAGGAGGUGAUUGUUACUGAAUUUGAAGAGAAACUUCAGGUUUCUGAACCCGAGACCAAAGUAGAGGAAGAGCACAAGAAAAAAGAGGAAGAGGAGAAGAAACCUACUCUCUUUGAGAAACUCCAUCGAUCAGGCAGCAGUUCCAGCUCUGUAAGUUUCUAACUCGAUCCAUGGAUCAAUCUCAUUAUUUAUUUUUUUUGUUGUCUUUUCCGUUAAGUGUUUCUUGAGAUUGACAGAUUUUUUGACGUGUUAAAAAAUGCAGUCUAGUGACGAGGAGGAAGGUGACGACGAAGAGAAAAAGAAGAAGAAGAAGGAAAAGAAGUCAUUGAAAGAGAAGAUGAAGAUAUCAGGAGAGAAAGGAGAGGAGAAGGAACACGAGGAUACUAGUGUUCCCGUUGAGGUAGUCCAUACAGAGACACCCCAUGAACCAGAGGAGAAGAAGGGUUUCCUUGACAAAAUCAAGGAGAAAUUGCCAGGACAUAAGAAAGCUGACGAGGUAC